rnacentral:lncRNA from 1 species
GCAGAUCCGCGGGGCCACGCCCACACGGCACACCUCCCGGCUGCCGCCGCCACCGCGGCGCGCGCUCUGCCGAGCCGAGCUGGAACAUGGCAAAUCGGCAAGGAUUUAUUUCACGCGGCGACUGGUGGAUGGGCGGGUUGGGUUUGACGGCGCCCGCGGGUCAGCUUGGCAGGUGAACACAGGUCGACGUGUGCAUGGGCGUUGCGCGGCACGGCACGGG